UGCCCGGUGGUGUAGUGGUAGCACGCCAGGUUUUGGCCCUGGAAACUGGGGUUCAAGUCCCUGCCGGGCAG
rnacentral:tRNA from 1 species